CUUUAUUGGAGAGUUUGAUCCUGGCUCAGGAUGAACGCUGGCGGCGUGCCUAAUACAUGCAAGUCGAGCGAAUGGAUUAAGAGCUUGCUCUUAUGAAGUUAGCGGCGGACGGGUGAGUAACACGUGGGUAACCUGCCCAUAAGACUGGGAUAACUCCGGGAAACCGGGGCUAAUACCGGAUAACAUUUUGAACCGCAUGGUUCGAAAUUGAAAGGCGGCUUCGGCUGUCACUUAUGGAUGGACCCGCGUCGCAUUAGCUAGUUGGUGAGGUAACGGCUCACCA
rnacentral:rRNA from 1 species